UCAGAAUUUCACUCCCCGCUGAGUCUCCUACCAUGCAUGGGGUUACUUUGGAGGGAUCUCAUCAUGCUGAAUAGCACGCACUUUUCUUUUAAAAAGCUACUUUUUAAAGUAGAUAAAUGGCAUAUGAUUUUUAUAAGUGCUAUCUAAUUUCAAAACCAACCUAAAGUGGCUUCUACGACCUCUGAGAUUCCAGGGCUCAGCAGUGGGAAGUGCCACAGAGCCGCCCACCCCAUCGGGGCCAGCGUGUGAGACUUCAUGGUAUCACACUCACUGCCAGUUGUACCUGUGCUGAGGGCCGUGCAAGGCGUGCCCCACGGCAAGGACCUACCGAGCCCUCCCUAGGAGGAGCACACACGAACCCAGCCACAGUCUAGAUGCGCGAAUGUCCCGGCUUUCACAAUUUACAAAUGUUUCAAGUGAAAUUUAUUUUUACUACUUUUAUGAAAAGUCACUAUGUGCUGCAAAUUUGUAAACAAUGUGAGAUGGAAGAGGACGUAAGCUGCAUUGUCUCUAUGCUUGCACCUGGAGGAAAGAAACCACGACUACUCAUUGUGGCGCCACCUUCAUAAGAAAAUGUUCUACAUCUCUAUCGGUAUUCAAGUUCUUAUUUGCAAGCAACAAAAACUCUACACAUCUGAGCAGGUGGAGCCCUUACUGGAAGCUGGAGCUAGAGACAGAAGCUGGAGCCUCUGAGAUAGAAGAGGAGAAAGAAGGACAUUGCGCUGAAGACACUUAGGGCCUAAGUGAGGACAACUGUGUUCUCUAGUGUGGGAAGGACAUACAUUCUUGGUCACACUUUCAUGGGAGUCUGCUCGUCACUUAAUUCCAGCUAUUACGACAACCGUGACUAUGUCGGGGUCAUUACCUGAGUGGUGUGGCUCUCUCUCUGUCUCUGAAAUGAUGAGGGCGUGGAGCUGCUCACAGACAACCUGGAGAAUCCAUCUUCUUCAGGUAAACCUAUGGAGGUUAAUGCCAAGAAGUCGUUAAGUUGUGUAUCCUUCCCCCAAAUAAGACAAGCCGUGUACUUACUGCAAUAAACUCAAAUUGUUCAAGUUCA